UAGCCCGCUUGAUCUUCCGGUGCCCGGAUGGCCUUCGCCUGAUGGGUUAAACGGGAAGUCGGUGCGCGCGCCUUCAUGGAUGCGCAAUGCCGACGCUGCCCCCGCAACGGUAGACGAGCGAACCGCAUCCGACCCUGGAUGCGGUUCAAGACGCGACCUGAUGCCACUGUGAUCAUUCAUGGGAAGGCGUCGCGUUUGGGGUAUACCCGCUCGUGAGCCCGGAGACCGGCCAGAGGAUCUGGAGCCGU
rnacentral:ncRNA from 2 species